AUAGAUAUAGGAAGAUGUGGUGUGAGUGCCAAUGAGACAACUCUCCAUCAAAAUAACAAUUUAAAAAAGUAAAUCAUUAUAGGUCAAUGUACGGCCUUCAACACGGAGCCUUGGCUCACACCGAACAACAAGCUAUAAAGGGCCCCAAAAUUACUAGUGUAAAACCAUUCAAACGAGAAAACCAACGGUCUGAUCUAUAUAAAAAACGAGAAACGAGAAACACGUACAAAAUACAUAAACAAACGACAACUACUGUACAUCAGAUUCCUGACUUAGGACAGGUGCAAACAUUUGCAGCGGGAUCAAACGUUUAAUGGUACCAAACCUUCUCCCUUUUU
rnacentral:lncRNA from 1 species